rnacentral:rRNA from 1 species
GACGAACGCUGGCGGCGUGCUUAACACAUGCAAGUCGAACGGAAAGGCCCUGCUUGCCGGGUGCUCGAGUGGCGAACGGGUGAGUAACACGUGGGUGAUCUGCCCCUUACUUUGGGAUAAGCCUGGGAAACUGGGUCUAAUACUGGAUAGGACCAUGCUGUAGGUGGUGUGGUGGAAAGAUUAGUUUCGGUAAGGGAUGAGCUCGCGGCCUAUCAGCUUGUUGGUGGGGUAAUGGCCUACCAAGGCGUCGACGGGUAGCCGGCCUGAGAGGGUGGACGGCCACAUUCGGACUGAGAUACGGCCCAGACUCCUACGGGAGGCAGCAGUGGGGAAUAGUGCAAAAUGGGCGCAAGCCUGAUGCAGCGACGCCGCGUGGGGGAUGACGGCCUUCGGGUUGUAAACUCCUUUCAGCCAUGACGAAGCCCUUGUGGUGACGGUAGUGGUAGAAGAAGCACCGGCUAACUACGUG